GAAACUUUGUUUAUAAAUUACAGAACUGGAGCAUGAACUCAUCUGAAAGAUGCUACACAUGGCAAUUGAAAUAUUCUUAGAAAUUAUGCAGAUUUCCCUGAAUUUAUUGCAACCUACCUGAAUACGGACGAUUUUCUGACCUCUUCAGUCACAGCUUUUAUUUCACAGCUCUACUAGCAAUACACCAUGGAAUACAAGCAACACUAUGAAAAACAAGGGCCCGAUAAAGCCCACAAAAAAGCUAUUGACUAAUAUUGGCACUACUUUUAGUCAUGCUAUUAUAGAUCACACUUUAUUUUUGUGCAUAAUAAAUACAGAAAAAUGUUGAAAAUGUAUGUAUGACUCAACCAUCUAAUUAAAGCUGAGCAACUAACCUAAUCAGGUUUUAGUUUUUCAAUGAGAAAUGACAAUAGUUGAAAAUAAAGAAAAACAAAAAGAACUUUACUUUCCUAUGUUAAUACAGGUCAAGGGACCCUUUCUUCUCAAAAGGGUUGAUAACACCAGUUCUUAGCAAUAAACAUAAGGCACUUGUUUAGAUUACAGCAUCACUGCAUUUCUUUCCCACUUGUUUUUCUAACCCUGUUUUUCCCCACAGUAUCAUUUGAAAUUAAAAGAAUAAACGAGGCAAAUGUGAGAUGAUCCAGUUGAUACUACUCAGAGCAAGAUAAUACAGUACACAAUGUUUUAGGGGUGCCGUCUGGACAUAAAAUGAACCCAGUCAAGGUCCUUUGACACCAGACAACGUAUCCACUAUCAAGUAAACCUGAAAGAAAAUAAAAGAUUUAUUCAAUAGUUCCAGUAAAAUUGGGAUGGAAUACAAUAUACAUGUUAGGAAUUUAGCUCCUUACGGGUGGCAUCUGCAUUAAGAAUUCUGAGUAUUUAUGAAUAUUCAUUCUAAGACAAUCUACAUCAUUUGAACAUUGUCAAGACAAAUAGAUGAAUCCAUUUCGAUAUACAGUAGAGUUUAAACAAAAGUCACACGUACACCCCCUAUUAUAUGGCUGGUGCCUCCUCCAAACACCUCAUUAGUGGCAGAGGUAGCACUAGUGUUCUUCCCCAACAAUAAGAACUUCAGUUGCCACACAUAGGAGAAGUUGAAAAGGUUUUGUCUUUUUGCCAUCUGUUAAGAUGUUCCUGAGACAGGGCCAGUUAAUAAAACAUAACAAAGCACUGGAGUUCAGUUUGAACUUUUCUUUACAUCACUAAACUGUUAGACUGGGAUGUCGAAUGCAGGUCAUGUACUAUGAAAGGCUGAUUUAGCACAACUGUUCAAUCAAUGAAAGGAUCAGGCCUUCUGAAAAUUCCCUUUAGAGUACACUUUCUAUAAACUAAAAGUACCACAAAAAAGUCAAUUAUAUAUACAAUUGGUUCAUUGUACUUUAAUCUUAUUUGCUCAGAUCUUGCAAAUGCAAUGAGAAUAUUAAGCCUGAGACUAGCUCUCAGUGUACAGGUUUAACAUGUUAAGGCUCAUUUUCCCAGUCAAAAUAGUUUUUAGUUUUCCUUUCAAAUUAUGAAUUACAUUCAUAGUACCUGCCACCAACCUAGUCCUCAAUGAAAUCUUAAUGCAGGAGCAGCACUCUACUUAUGGAAUUUCCCCUGACAUCAGCACUUAGCCCCUUCUAAAAAGCUCCCAUCUGUACUUGCCUUACAGCACACUACACUGCCUCUUGCUUACACCUCUGUUUCCACCUGUGUAUUUUCACAGAAGCCCAACACAGAUAGGUUGAAAUAUUCACACAACUGUUUUUCAAAAGAAUUUAUUGCAUCAUAUUUGGUACCUUAUGUUUGACAACAAAAAGGAAAUUACAUCUGUAACUGCAGGAAAAAGAAGCUGGUCUGUUAUUUG